AGAGUUUGAUCAUGGCUCAGAUUGAACGCUGGCGGCAGGCCUAACACAUGCAAGUCGAGCGGUAGCACAGGGAGCUUGCUCCUGGGUGACGAGCGGCGGACGGGUGAGUAAUGUCUGGGAAACUGCCUGAUGGAGGGGGAUAACUACUGGAAACGGUAGCUAAUACCGCAUAAUGUCUACGGACCAAAGUGGGGGACCUUCGGGCCUCAUGCCAUCAGAUGUGCCCAGAUGGGAUUAGCUAGUAGGUGGGGUAAUGGCUCACCUAGGCGACGAUCCCUAGCUGGUCUGAGAGGAUGACCAGCCACACUGGAACUGAGACACGGUCCAGACUCCUACGGGAGGCAGCAGUGGGGAAUAUUGCACAAUGGGCGCAAGCCUGAUGCAGCCAUGCCGCGUGUGUGAAGAAGGCCUUCGGGUUGUAAAGCACUUUCAGCGAGGAGGAAGGGUUCAGUGUUAAUAGCACUGUGCAUUGACGUUACUCGCAGAAGAAGCACCGGCUAACUCCGUGCCAGCAGCCGCGGUAAUACGGAGGGUGCAAGCGUUAAUCGGAAUUACUGGGCGUAAAGCGCACGCAGGCGGUUUGUUAAGUCAGAUGUGAAAUCCCCGCGCUUAACGUGGGAACUGCAUUUGAAACUGGCAAGCUAGAGUCUUGUAGAGGGGGGUA
rnacentral:rRNA from 1 species